rnacentral:rRNA from 1 species
CCUACAGGGGGCAGCAGUGGGGAAUAUUGGACAAUGGGGGGAACCCUGAUCCAGCCAUGCCGCGUGUGUGAAGAAGGCCCUCGGGUUGUAAAGCACUUUCAGUGAGGAAGAACGCCUGGUGGUUAAUACCCAUCAGGAAAGACAUCACUCACAGAAGAAGCACCGGCUAACUCCGUGCCAGCAGCCGCGGUGAUACGGAGGGUGCGAGCGUUAAUCGGAAUUACUGGGCGUAAAGCGCGCGUAGGUGGCUUGAUAAGCCGGUUGUGAAAGCCCCGGGCUCAACCUGGGGACGGCAUCCGGAACUGUCAAGCUAGAGUGCAGGAGAGGAAGGUAGAAUUCCCGGUGUAGCGGUGAAAUGCGUAGAGAUCGGGAGGAAUACCAGUGGCGAAGGCGGCCUUCUGGACUGACACUGACACUGAGGUGCGAAAGCGUGGGUAGCAAACAGGAUUAGAUACCCCUGUAGUC